rnacentral:rRNA from 1 species
GAGCUUGCUCUUUCCGGAUGAGUUGCGAACGGGUGAGUAACGCGUAGGUAACCUGCCUGGUAGCGGGGGAUAACUAUUGGAAACGAUAGCUAAUACCGCAUAACAGUAGAUAUCGCAUGAUAGCUGCUUGAAAGGUGCAAAUGCACCACUACCAGAUGGACCUGCGUUGUAUUAGCUAGUUGGUGAGGUAACGGCUCACCAAGGCAACGAUACAUAGCCGACCUGAGAGGGUGAUCGGCCACACUGGGACUGAGACACGGCCCAGACUCCUACGGGAGGCAGCAGUAGGGAAUCUUCGGCAAUGGACGGAAGUCUGACCGAGCAACGCCGCGUGAGUGAAGAAGGUUUUCGGAUCGUAAAGCUCUGUUGUAAGAGAAGAACGAGUGUGAGAGUGGAAAGUUCACACUGUGACGGUAUCUUACCAGAAAGGGACGGCUAACUACGUGCCAGCAGCCGCGGUAAUACGUAGGUCCCGAGCGUUGUCCGGAUUUAUUGGGCGUAAAGCGAGCGCAGGCGGUUAGAUAAGUCUGAAGUUAAAGGCUGUGGCUUAACCAUAGUACGCUUUGGAAACUGUUUAACU